rnacentral:rRNA from 1 species
CCUACGGGUGGCAGCAGUGAGGAAUAUUGGUCAAUGGGCGCGAGCCUGAACCAGCCAAGUCGCGUGAGGGAGGACGGCCCUACGGGUUGUAAACCUCUUUUGCCGGGGAGCAACGGGCGUCACGUGUGGCGCCACUGAGAGUACCCGGAGAAAAAGCAUCGGCUAACUCCGUGCCAGCAGCCGCGGUAAUACGGAGGUUGCGAGCGUUAUCCGGAUUUUUUGGGUUUAAGGGGUGCGUAGGCGGUUCGUUAAGUCAGUGGUCAAAUUGAGGGGCUCAACCCCUUCCCGCCAGUGAAACUGGCGUUCUUGAGUGGAAGAGAGGUAUGCGGAAUGCGUGGUGUAGCGGUGAAAUGCAUAGAUAUCACGCAGAACCCCGAUUGCGAAGGCAGCAUGCCGGCUUCCGACUGACGCUGAAGCACGAAAGCGUGGGGAUCGAACAGGAUUAGAUACCCGUGUAGUC